AUUGAACGCUGGCGGCAGGCCUAACACAUGCAAGUCGAACGGUAACAGGAAGAAGCUUGCUUCUUUGCUGACGAGUGGCGGACGGGUGAGUAAUGUCUGGGAAACUGCCUGAUGGAGGGGGGUAACUACUGGAAACGGUAGCUAAUACCGCAUAACGUCCCAAGACCAAAGAGGGGGACCUUCGGGCCCCUUGCCAUCGGAUGUGCCCAGAUGGGAUUAGCUAGUAGGUGGGGUAACGGCUCACCUAGGCGACGAUCCCUAGCUGGUCUGAGAGGAUGACCAGCCACACUGGAACUGAGACACGGUCCAGACUCCUACGGGAGGCAGCAGUGGGGAAUAUUGCACAAUGGGCGCAAGCCUGAUGCAGCCAUGCCGCGUGUAUGAAGAAGGCCUUCGGGUUGUAAAGUACUUUCAGCGGGGAGGAAGGGAGUAAAGUUAAUACCUUUGCUCAUUGACGUUACCCGCAGAAGAAGCACCGGCUAACUCCGUG
rnacentral:rRNA from 1 species